CGAAUCCGGGACCUUCCGCGUGGUUUCCUCUCUGCACAGCUUAUCCCCCGUCCGCUUCUCAAAAAAAAAAAAAAAACUUAUCCCCCGUCCGCUCCAGGUCUCCACCCUGCCACUCGAACUGCUCCUCGUCCUCGACGCCGGGCGCGCCGCGCGGGGGGAUCAUGGCCUGAAGUGAAAUCCCGCACCGCGACGCUGCGAGGGUGACAAGGAUAACUUUCUCAGACCAGGGAAGGAAGACAUCUCCUUGACGCGGUAGAGCUUUUGAUGGUUGCUAUAAGUAUUCAGGGGUGAAUUAGGACUGGAAGAUACUGCUGAAGCGAAACAGAGAGUGUCAAGAGAGUUUGUUUCAAGAUGGAUGAAGACCAGGGAGUUAGGUAUUGGUGCCACAUGUGUGAGGAGGUGAUCGAUCCUAUGCCGGAAAUGAAGUGUCCUAGCUGUGAGGGUGGGUUUGUGGAAGAGAUGGAAUCUGAAGGCUUUGAACCAGCUACAAACACAAGGUCUGAUCGCUCCCUCUCCGUUUUGGCUCCGCUGCUUUUUGGUAUGCUGGGGGGUUCCUCGCGCAGAUCAAGACUCAGGAGGGAGGCCAUGGAAGAUGCUGAUGCUGAUGAGGAUGAUGAAGAGGAUGAUUCAGACCGUGAGUUUGAACUAUUCAGUAGGAGGCGAAGGAGGAUGCCCUCGUCAGCGCUUGCCAGGCUGAUUCAAACUAUGCGUGAUGACAUGAGGGGCUUGGAUGACACUGACAGUGAUACAGAGAGAGAUAUGGAGAGAGAAAGAAGGGAGAGGCAGAGGGCAGAGAGGCAGGCUGUCGAGAGGAGGGUGGAGAGGCAGAGGGCAAUAGAGAGGCUGAGCAAUCGUGGGAGAGAGAGGACAGAAAGCCUAAUACUGAUCAACUCUAACAAUGAGGCCAUCAUUCUCCAAGGAACGUUUGGACGCGAUGACAACCAAGAGGAAUCAAGCAACACAAGUUCUGGUGUAUCAGCUGCGGAUUACUUUCUUGGUCCUGGCUUAGAUAUUCUGUUGCAGCGUUUGGCAGAGAGUGAUCUCAAUCGUUCUGGCACACCACCUGCCAAGAAGGAGGCGGUAGCUGCAUUGCCAACUGUGAACAUCAAGGAAGUGUUGGGUUGUUCAGUCUGUCUUGAGGAUUUUGAGAUGGGAGCAGAAGCAAAGCAGAUGCCCUGUCAGCAUAAAUUCCACUGUCAGUGCAUCCUUCCAUGGCUGGAGCUUCACAGUUCUUGCCCAAUUUGUCGAUUUCAGUUGCCUACUGAGGAGACGAAGAACCCAUGUGAAUCAGCCAGCAGUGCCGGGGCCAUGAACGGCGAUGGAGACAAUGUUGCUGCAAGCAGUAGUGAUACAGAAAGUACUAACCGUAAUGGAGAUAACCAUUCAGAUAGUCCUAUCUUCUCUGCUUUGAGCGCACUCUUCUCUGAUCCAUCCUCGCCAUCUGAUGAUGAAAGUGCUCCACACUCUUCUGAGACCUGAAGUUUCAUCUAAAUUGCAGACACCGCCGGAUGCAGGCUUGCAGUAUGGUGAAGGUGAUCUGAAAUGUGAGACUGGCAUCUUUAUAUUGUAGUUUCUGUACAUAUCUCUGAAUUGGCACCCCCAGAAGACAAGAUAUUCUAUUCUCUUUUCUGAAAACUAUGUGGCUUGUAGUGUGCUAGUGCUUGCUAUGUUUACUUAUCUUAAAUAAAAGUUAGCCUCUAGUGUGCGUACCAUCUCCUGAAGGCUUCAACAUGCAUCAGUCGGCUGCCAGUUUAGUUGAGAGUGUGAUCAAUAUAAUUUCUGUGGAGGGAAGGGCCUUUUACGGAUCCUCGUUACUCACACUCCAUUGUGUUAUGGAGUUGGUGGAAGGUUGCUGGUGCUGCCUCAUAUGGCCUGAAUGUCACACUUGAGGAUAAUCUGGUAUCUUUUGGUUAGGUCAUUUGUUCCUUUUUUGGCUCUUCCGUUGUCAUAAGAUACGACAUGAAAAGGGUUUGUCUGUUACAGCUAGGUCCAAGGGCAUUCGUGUUCUAUUUUGAUCAAAGGAGGUCGCCAAAACAGCAUUUUGCUGUAGUUGGGCCAGUCAGGUGAUGUCUGAGGUAUUGCUCCUUUUUGUGGUAUAAUCAUGAGUUAGCUGUGGUCCGUUCAUCGUCAGAUUCAUUCUGGUGAUAGCUGUGCUUGGGCCUUUGAAGGUCACAAUUUGGAGGUACCGAAUUUUGGGUGGCAAGUGGAAUGCUUUGGAUAUGCACGAUCUGUUUAGCUGGCUUUGGCUGAAUAGAUGAUCACAAUUUGUUUUUGUAGACUCACUAGCCAGUACGGCCAUUCAUGGGGUAUUGUCAAUCAAUACUAUGUGUUUUUGGCCCAAAAACUUUGUUUGCUGUACCAUAAUAUUCCAGUUACAGAUUAGGGCCAUUGAUUCA